rnacentral:lncRNA from 1 species
GAUGUCUAAUAUAAAGACUUGGGCUGAGUAUGUUGUGGAAUAAUGUGCAAAGGACCCUUCCAGCUUUUUAGAACUGAUUUUGGCCCUUAUUCCACUGAUCCUAGGAAAUGUCAUACAUCCCUGGAAACUGUUCAAAAUGACUGAAGCCAGGAAAAAGGAUCAAAAGAAGAAACAAAAACAUCAAGAAAAUAUCGCAAAAGCCAAACAACUGAAAAAG